GGAAGCAAUGGCCGCGUCCCGCCUCUCUUCUCGCCCAGACUUUGCCCUCCGCACCCAUUUUCGAGUCUCUUCCCUGCUGCAGCAGUCCAAAUCAUUAGAGGAAUGCCUCUGCUUGCACUGACCAGAGGAUGUUUGGAUUAUGUCAGCCCAGUUCUGCAGUCUUACAGGAAUCAAGUGUUGUCCCCAGUGUAUACAGAAUUCUUCUUUGCAGCCAACCUAGUCUAACAUGCAUUUUGUUAACUGAAGCAGCAAAACAAAGAAAACAAAUGUCUCAUUUUCCAGCUUUGUGGGUGAGAGAGCUAUAAGUGAAGAUGAUAAUACUGGACAUUGACGGCCUUAAACCAGCUGCCUCAGAAAUCUGCAAAGAACUUUGCUGAAAAUAUGUUCCUCAUCUUAGCAACAGAGCUAGGACUUAUCACACAUCUGCCCACCUUUAUUUGAAUGAAGUUCCUGAUCUGACAGCUCAGGCAUUGGCAGUUUCAUCCAUAACAAUUUCAGUUUACAAAUUUGGAGCCUAAUCCUGUAAACCCUUAAUCAUUUGAUCAAUCCUAUUGAAGACAAUGGGACUAUUUGCAUGACUAUGGACCACUUUUGUGGUAAGAGUUUAAGGAGUCUGUUCUGUUCCUAUAAAGGAAGUUGAAUGUCCCAUUGAAAUCAAUGUUUGAGUACAAUACCAUAAUGCAGUUUAGGAUACAGUUCUGCUUAAAAUUUGUCUUUUAAUAAGUCAUACAUAUGCUGAAAUGGCUCCUCACCCAACUCCCAUAUUCUGUAUAAACAGACUGAAAUACUACAUAUCUGGAGGGAAAGUGUGUAGUUAAGCAUGUUGAUGUUUGUAUAUACAAAUACUCAUUUCAUCACUGUACUGGAAAACAUAGCUGAACUUAAUUUUCUAUGGAAUUUGAAGAAAGUUCAACAGCCCCAA